GACGAACGCUGGCGGCGUGCCUAAUACAUGCCAGUCGAACGAGAGCGACCGGUGCUUGCACUGGUCAAUCUAGUGGCGAACGGGUGAGUAACACGUGGGUAACCUGCCCAUCAGAGGGGGAUAACAUCCGGAAACGGAUGCUAAAACCGCAUAGGUCUUCGAGCCGCAUGGCUUGAAGAGGAAAAGAGGCGCAAGCUUCUGCUGAUGGAUGGACCCGCGGUGCAUUAGCUAGUUGGUGAGGUAACGGCUCACCAAGGCCGUGAUGCAUAGCCGACCUGAGAGGGUGAUCGGCCACAUUGGGACUGAGACACGGCCCAAACUCCUACGGGAGGCAGCAGUAGGGAAUCUUCCGCAAUGGACGCAAGUCUGACGGAGCAACGCCGCGUGAGUGAAGAAGGUUUUCGGAUCGUAAAACUCUGUUGUUAGAGAAGAACAAGUGCUAGAGUAACUGUUAGCGCCUUGACGGUAUCUAACCAGAAAGCCACGGCUAACUACGU
rnacentral:rRNA from 1 species